CUGCUUGCUGAGGGCAGAUAAAGUGAAUAUGUGUGUCGAAUCCACCAGCUGUAAUUAUCUUGCCUUCCCCUGCAAUGACAUCUGUGCAAGAUCCCACAGCCAUGUUCGGACUGACGCCAUCCAUCACGUCAGGAUUGCCGGCCUUACCAAUGCCUACAAUAAUGCCAUUUUUGACACCAAUAUCAGCCUUAUAUAUCCCACUCCAGUCGAUGAUCAGCGCAUUGACGAUUACCAAGUCCAAAGAAAUCUCAUCAGAAACACCACUUGCUUGGCCCAUUCCCUCUCUUAA
rnacentral:sRNA from 1 species